CGGCGCUGCCAUCCAUAGAGGACCUCUACACCCAGCGGUGCAGGAAGAAGAGCAGCCAGAUUAUUAAAGACCCCUUUCACCCCAGCUAUAAAAAUGUUUGCCUGCUGCCUGCUGCCGUCUGGCCGACUGUACCGCAGCAUCCGGGCCUGCACCACCAGGCUCAGAGACAGUUUCAUGCCCCGGGCCAUAAGACUUUUAAACUCCUCUGAACUGCAGUAACUCCACCAAACUAGCACUGUGAUAUAUUUGCAUAUUUGCACCAUUGCUCAAAUUGCACUAUUGUUGUUUUAUUUUCUCUUCAGCUGUUUUUUAUAUAUAUUUAGAUAUACAUACUUUAUUUUCCAUUUUAAAUUUUGAUAUUCUAUUUUAUACUAUUUCUAUUUAAUUUUUUAGGUUGUAAUUACUUGAGCAUUGCUAGAAGAGAGCCUGUGACUCAAGCAUUUUACUGCCAGCGACUGCUUAAUGUUAUUGUUGUGCAUUUGAUAAUAAAAAUCUUGAAUCUUGAAUCUUGAAUAAGCUCCGCCACGUAAGAUAUCUAAUGUUAUGUAAAGUUGUUUCAAUCGACACACCAUUUGACUUGACAAUGUUACACAGAUUCUUAUUCUGCAGAAACAGAUUUACUGUUGUCAACUGAAACCUGAGUAUUUAAAGUCACAUCUGCAUUGCUCUCUAUUCAGAGUAAUGGUGUUUAUGUGUUGUAACAUUUUACAGUGAAAACUAAAUUUGUCUGCUACCUUCAGUUUUUACAUCGUUAAUCUCAAGCAGUCUUCACUGAAUUAUUGUGUUAAAUAUAAAUAAAUUAUAGGAAGUGUAACUUUACUAGAGUAGACAGUCUCAUAGAGAACCUGAGGCUGAUGUCCACCACAUAUUUCCCAAGCUGAAAUGAUUAUGAUCUGAUGAACUUUGAAGUAAUACACUUUUAUUUUUACCAUGUAAAAGUCUGUUAAGGAGUUUACCUGGCACAUGUAUGACUUUACAUAUCUGUGUAUUUGUGUUGAAUGUUCCUCUAGGAUGUCCAACAUGAGACACAACUGGAAUCCAACCAGACUGAACACUGAGUCAUCACUUCAACACUGACUCCAGGGACAGACGAGCCUGAAGGAAACAGCUGUGAUGACCGUGUUCUGUCUCUUAUGGCAAAGAAGAAAAAUAUCAAGUGUAUCAAAUCAGAAAGCAAAAGAUUAACAUUGUUCUAAUAAGUGUACAUUUUUUAACCAACCAUAAUGACUAUAGAAAUUAAUUAUUAUUCAUGACACUGAGUAAUGUCUGCCAACUCUAAACAGUUGCAGGCCGUCUUUAGUUAAGGGAGGAAAACAUGAAGCUGGUGCAGUCGUCCUCGUGUUGACCACCAUGAAGCUGCUGAGGAGACAUCAGGUGCUGCAGGGCUUCAUCUAAUGAAAAGAAGAAACUCUAUUAAAGAAUGUUUUGUGUUGUGUAUGAAGCACCACAGAUGUCAGACAGAACCGAUGUACUGGGGAGCCCCGGGGCCUUUGUGUGUGUGCUAUCUGGAGACACACGCACACAUUUCCGCUCCUGGUAUUUCAUGUGAUGAUGAUUGACAAUUUUUUUUUUUUUAUUUAGAGCAUGCCUUGCAUCCGGCAAGAUAUGUUUGACACCCCUGGUCUAAACUGUCUAAUUCACUCAGAAAUUCCAUAAUAGGCUAAAUAAACGAGGUGCAAUGGUAAUGGUGGAUAUACCAGCCUGUAUCAGAAUAUUUGUGAAACAUAGUUACUAUCACAUGCAACUUACACAUGUAGCUUAUUGAUAUUAACAAAUUAAAAUCAAGUCACAACCAAACACACAACUCUUUAGUUAACUUGCUUCAAUCUGUUCAUUAGACGUGUUACAUAAACGGUAACUUUUAUAACAAUUACAUAUUAAAAACCACUUGAAGCAUGUUAGCAUAUGAUUAUGAUGAUAGAUAAAGCAAUACGUUUUGUUGUUGUAUAGUUUCAAGGUAACUUACCUCUAGGUCAUGGUAAAGAUUUGAAAGUGGGUUUACGAAAGACUUUGCGAUUACGGAGGAGCUGGCAGUAAUGCGGUCAAUAAAAGGGACGACGACUGGGAGUGAUUUGUUCACGGAGGUAGAUGCAUGCUUGGACAAGCUGGGACUCAAAUGGGACAAACUGGAAGGUGUUACAACUGAUGACUGUCCAAAUCUGACAGGGAAAAAGUUCGGACUUUUGAAGGGUAUGCAAGAUAAAGUGAGGGAAAUUAACCCAGAAAUUAAAUUGCUAUUUUUGCAUUGUAUUAUACAUCAGGAGGUGUUGUGUGAGUCAGUGCUAAAAAUGUAUCAUGUUACUGAUGUUACUAAAUUAUUUAACUUUAUCAGGGCAAGAGCAUUGAAUCUCAGACAGUUUGUUGCACUUUUGGAGGAUGAGCAUGAGACUGAACAUGGGGACAUAGGCUACCACACAGCUGUCAGAUGGCUCAGUCUGGGCAAAGUGCUUAAAAGAGUAUGGGACCUGAGAGCAGAGAUUCAAGAGUUUUGGGAAAAGAAAGGCAAGGACAUCCAAGAGUUCUCAGAUGCAGACUGGAUGGAAGAUCUUGCAUUUGCUGUUGAUGUCACUGCAUUAAUGAAUGAGCUAAAUACCAAACAGCAAGGCAAGGGCCUAUUUGCAGAUGAAAUGUACAGCCUGGUGCAGGCUUUCAUGAGAAAGUUGUUUCUUUCAACCACAUGCCGACACUGAAAGAAGCCACACCAUUAGUUGAUCACCUCUUCAGGUACUCAACCAUGUUAGGGCCACUGCAUGGUGAGUUUUCAAGAAGAUUUCAAGAAUUCAAAAUAGUUGAAAGUGAAAUGCACAUGAUUUCUUCACCCUUCACGUGCAGUGUGGAUAAUGCACCAGUGAUGUUCAGCUCCAACCCAGUGUGUCAGCUCAAACUCAUUGACCUGCAGUCUGAUACACUACUGGCAGAGCACUUUAAGUCAGUAUCACUGCUGGAGUUUUAUUCUUCUCUCAAAGGGGAGAAUUCCAUACAUGAGGGGGCAUGCUCAGAAGAUGUUGGUUGUCUUUGGAUCUCCUUACAUAUGUGAACAAACUUUUUUGUGAUGAAGUUUAACAAAUCCAGAUACUCUCUCACUGAUGAUCACCUGUCAGCUGUCCUUCGCAUAUCCACCUCAGAUAUACAACCUGACUUCAGUGCACUUGUUCAAGCCCAAAACAGACUGUUUUUUCUUGCUCAGUGAGAAAAAUCUAAAUAGAAAACCAGCAAAUGGGGUGAUUAGACUAAAUGCAAAUAGUUAUAGCACUUUGUAUAAAGUUAAUUUAAAGCUGAUCUUUGAAAUACUGCAAAAAAUGUGAAUAUUUUGUUCACAACUGUUUUUGUAAAUGUUGAUUAAAGUGUGAUAUAAUGUUGGCAUUA